UGCUCAGUUCCUUUUGCAAGGCCACACAGCAAAUGGGUGCAGAACAAGGGGAGCCCUCCCUUCCAGGGCUGGCUUCUAUCAUCAAAUUUCCAGUCGUGGAGGAAACACGGCAGUAGCCCAGCCCCCUCCGGGAGAACGUGGAAUGACCCUGACGAAGUUGCUCAACCAGAGGGGUCAAGUCAGCUCUUAGCUGUGUCAAGAUCGUGUGGAGUCGGGUGCCUCUCGGAGAAUGCACAGCCUGACCCCAUCCUGAAAGAGCAGCAAGCACUUAUUGAGCCCUGACUCGGAUCCAGGCAUUCCUAGGUGUUUUACAUAGGGUGCCUCAUUAUCUUCAAUUCUACAACAUUCCAUGAAUAUGUUUUAUCGUCACCAUUUUCCCACUAAGGAAAUUGAAGCUUCAUGAGGUGGAACAACUCACCCAAGAUCACAUAGACAAGAAAAAGGGGAGCUUGGUCUGAACCCGGGUCUGUUGGCUUCCCCAAACCAGUAACUUCUCUAUGUACAGGAGGAGAAAUGCCUGCAAUGAGAUCUUCAUUAGACCGAGUUCCGUGUUGUCGCCCAGACUGUGAUAGUGGCUCUUUUGGUGGCUCUGAUGUGAAAUUACUCCAUUGUCAUCAGAUAUGAACAGGGCUCAAGACUACAUCCGGGUAGAAGCUCUUGGUUUCUGUCAGAACUCCAGCUGUCAUUCUUAAUGGCUUUCAACUGACCCACUUACGCGGAAAGCUGGAGAACCUCUGUGCUGUUCACUUGGAGAUACGCCGCUUGCCUCUUGUUUAUCUAACAAAUAUCCUGGCAGAUACCACAGCCUACUUGGAAAUUACCAGGGCGGUGAGCACAUCCUUUCUCCAUACGACCUUUGAUCAUCAGCAGCAAAAUAAAGCUGACUCUUAGGAGCUACAACCGUAUCUUUAAUUGGCUGGGCUUAUUCUACAGUAUUUCAGGACCAGAGUCCUCGGGGGAUAGAUAGAACUCAGCAUCCUUUUUUUGUGCCAGCGCAACCCUGUUUAAAAUGGUUGCUCGGUCCUCUGCGAGCCAUAUGUGGCUUUUUCCGUUUAAAUGAGCACAGAUUUAAAGCACCUUCCAGUGCUCAGUAGCGAAAUGCGGCUCAGGACUACCGUGCUGGGCAGCACGGUAGACGUUUCCAUCACCUCAGAAGGUUCUAGGAGAUAGCAUUGGUUUAGUAAUAAUAAGAGCUAAGAUUUCUGAGUACGUGUUGUGUGCCCGGCACUGGUCUCAGCACUUUACAGGUGUUCAUUGUUUUAUUCCUCACCACAAACCUGUGAGCUAGGUACUAUUAGUUGUCCCAUUUAUAGAUGAGCAAAACUAGGCACAGAGAUUAUUGAUAUUAUCAAGCCACGUGCAUCACACUGCUGAUAUGAGGACUGGACAAGACACACACGACAGUCUGGCUCCAGAGUUUAAGCCCUGCUCCUUCGCGCUGAAUUGCUUCUCACAUGAGAUGCAUUAGGAAGAAAUAGCCCCAAGUCAUCUUCAAUGCAAAUAAAUGUUUUAAUUUAAAAAGAACGAAAGACUAUUGAUCUAGUAAUCAUCGCUCCUCUGUCCUUCCCAGUCCCACCUGCUAUUGGCAGGUGGUUGACCUUCAUUGCACAGAAAGGAACAAGGCAGAACCCCUGCCUCCCUCAGUCCCUUUCCUUACCGCCUUCCUUGGCCCCGUUUCUUCAUCAGUUUCUGUCUCCUUCCUUUUGUCUCCUCCUGGAAAAGGCAAAUGCCUUCACUGGCGUGCCCACUCGCAUCCUUUCCUGCCUCAUGCAGAACCAAGCUGUCAUUAUUUACCUUCUCUCUUUCUCAUCAACUUCUGUUUUUCCCGCAAGACUCUUUGUCUUUGAAGAAAACAUACGCAGUCCUUCUCUCCCCUGCGCUUUAUUAAAUAUGCCAAUCUAACUAGCGUCUCGUCCUGUAAGAUUCAAGGGCAGCAUCUGCCCGGCACCCUUGGCGUCCUCAGCUUUCCUUGUCCCAGGCCAGCCUAAUGCCCCUUUUUGGUGUCCCCACUGCCUUCUGCCUACCUUACUUGCAGUCCUCACCACACCAUGUUGAGCAAUGCAUUUAAAUUUCUAUUUUAUCCAAGAGUUUACUGCUUGAGAGUAAGGAUCACGUUCUAAUCAUCUCUAGAGCUCACCAACUAGCUCAAUGGCACAAGGUAAGCACUAGAUAAACAUUGAUUGGAAUAUAAGCAUUUAUUCUAAAAAAAAAACCCCAAACAUCUAAAUAUGUCAACUUUCUUUUGACUUUACUUUUUCCUCUGAUAUUGGCUUCUGGUUUUUUAUCUUUAAACUUCUUGAAAAAAUUAUCUAUAAUCUUUUAUUUGUUACCAAUUAGCCUUAUUCUCUUCUGAUUUGGCCUCUCUGUCCAUUGAAGAAAAGACAUCCUAAACACAGAUGCAAGGUCUGUGCCUUGAUGAUACAUUUUUUAAAUUUGCGGUGUUUGAGAUUGAUGACCCAUCCAUGAAAUUCUCUCCUACCUUGAAUUCUUUUCUCCUCAGCAUUUGGACUCUCAUUACUUUUUUUGGUGGAAUCAUUUCUUUUUGGUCUUCUCCUUCUUGGCUAGCUUCUGCCCGUCUACCAUUCUUUAAUUAUGGAUGUUCUUUAAGCUUUAGGAUAUCUUCUCUCUCCCAUUGUAGUGUUAUAAAUUUCUAUGACUUUCAUUGUUUUCAAAUGAUUCUUGCAUUUAUAUUCCAAUCACGUCAUUUCUUGGCAUCUUUACCUUAGGACCUGCCAGUUCUUGUAAUUUAACACUUGUAAACUAAGUUAAUCAUUUUUGCUGUGAAAUUUGUUCCUCCCCCUGACUUCUCAAAUUCUUCCAAUGGCAUCGCCAUUUUGCAUGACCAUAGUUCAGUCUCAAACUCGAUGCCUGCUAUAUCUCCAAACCCAUGUUCCUAGUAAGUCAUAUCCUACUGAGUUUUCCUUUGAAAUUGCUCUCACUUCUUCUGUUCCUUUCACAUGGCUGCCUUCUUAAUUAAGACCCUUAUUUAGCUCUUGGCUGUACUAUUGCUAAUAUCUUUGAGCAUCUCGCCUCCCUCGCCUCCUACCAUGUGGUUCACACCACUGCCAGAGUAAUCUUCCCAAACAACUCCGAUUAUGUCUGAUUAUGUCUUUUCCUUAUUCAAAAUAUCUCUAAUGACAGCUCCAUGCCUAUUUAAUAAAGUCCAUAUAAUUCGCUUGACAGUCAAGGGCCAUCUAUAACAAGUUUUCCUUUCAUUUUCCUCUCCUCUCGUUUUGCCUUCUGCAUAUACCCUGAAUUUCUUGUUGUUUUCCAAUACAUUUCAGAAUCUUUUACUUCCAUGCUUUUGUAUAUAUUCUCCCUUGCCCUUGCGCACUCUAACUCCUUCUCCAGCUCCCGUUUUACUGAGUGAGGUAUUUCUUUUCAAUGUCCUGUUCCAGGGCAUUUGCUCCCUGGAGCCUCCCCUGCUGACUUCAGCCAGGAAUGAUCUCUCUUGCUUUACACUUCCACAGCGUUCUAUCUGGCCUACACGUUGCCCGUGCUUGUCACCUGAUCAAGUGUCUUCUAUGACAUGGUAGCUCCCUGAGCAUGAACGCACGCUUAAUUCAUCUUCAAUAUUCCUCAAAGUAUUUCACUCCGGGCAGAUGCUGAGUUGGUAUUCGUUGAUGAUGGCAGUACCCAGAUUCCCUUGCUGCACUCCCUUUGUCCAAUGUAUAGCAUUAGCAUCUGCGCUGGGAGAACUUCUGCUGGAAUAAAACAAGGUGAAAUGAAAAACUAUCUCUUAAAUAAUGGCAGAAGCUCCGUGGUGUGUCUGUCGCUGAAUCCCUCUUAAAUUCAUUUUGGAUGGUAACAGAGUAUAGACAAUAAAUGAAGACUUGAGGAUAGUUAAAUAUUGAUCUUGACCUUUCUGUAAUACCCACAUAUCCUUUCCAUCCCUUAGUUUCUUCUUUAAUGGAUCAGCAUCACUGUGUUACCUCAGAGGAACCACGGUGACAAUAGCAAAUUACCUUGACAUUUUAAAGGGUUAAG